AUUGAACGCUGGCGGCAGGCCUAACACAUGCAAGUCGAGCGGAUGAAGAGAGCUUGCUCUCUGAUUUAGCGGCGGACGGGUGAGUAAUGCCUAGGAAUCUGCCUGGUAGUGGGGGAUAACGUGCGGAAACGGGCGCUAAUACAGCAUACGUCCUACGGGAGAAAGCAGGGGACCUGCGGGCCUUGCGCUAUCAGAUGAGCCUAGGUCGGAUUAGCUAGUUGGUGAGGUAAUGGCUCACCAAGGCGACGAUCCGUAACUGGUCUGAGAGGAUGAUCAGGCACACUGGAACUGAGACCCGGUCCAGACUCCUACGGGAGGCAGCAGUGGGGAAUAUUGGACAAUGGGCGAAAGCCUGAUCCAGCCAUGCCGCGUGUGUGAAGAAGGUCUUCGGAUUGUAAAGCACUUUAAGUUGGGAGGAAGGGCAGUAAGUUAAUACCUUGCUGUUUUGACGUUACCGACAGAAUAAGCACCGGCUAACUUCGUGCCAGCAGCCGCCGUAACAC
rnacentral:rRNA from 1 species